UACGGGGGGGGCAAGCGUUGUUCGGAAUUACUGGGCGUAAAGGGCUCGUAGGUGGUCAACUAAGUCGGACGUGAAAUCCCUCGGCUUAACCGGGGAACUGCGUCCGAUACUGGAUGACUUGAGUUCGGGAGAGGGAUGCGGAAUUCCAGGUGUAGCGGUGAAAUGCGUAGAUAUCUGGAGGAACACCAGAGGCGAAAGCGGCGCUCUGGGUCGCACCUGACGCUGAACUGCGAAAGCCAGGGUAGCGAACGGG
rnacentral:rRNA from 1 species